rnacentral:rRNA from 1 species
CAAUAGCGUAUAUUAAAGUUGUUGCAGUUAAAAAGCUCGUAGUUGGAUUUCUGGUGGGAGCGAUCGGUCUGGCGCUUAGCGCGAGUACUUGCAUCGUCUCCGGCCAUCCUUGGGGUGAGUCUGUCUGGCAUUAGGUUGUCGGGCAGAGGAUCCUCAUCGUUUACUGUGAAAAAAUUAGAGUGUUCAAAGCAGGCUUAUGCCGUUGAAUAUAUUAGCAUGGAAUAAUAAGAUAGGACUUUGGUACUAUUUUGUUGGUUUGCGCACCAAAGUAAUGAUUAAUAGGGACAGUUGGGGGUAUUCGUAUUCCGUUGUCAGAGGUGAAAUUCUUGGAUUUACGGAAGACGAACUACUGCGAAAGCAUUUACCAAGGAUGUUUUCAUUAA